UUUUAGUGUAAAAUGUCGGCGAGCGGCGGACGGCUGAGUAACGCGUGGGAACGUACCCCAAAGUGAGGGAUAACGCAUCGAAAGGUGUGCUAUACCGCAUAUGGUCUUCGGAUUAAAGCCUUCGGGCGCUUUGGGAACGGCCUGCGUAAGAUUAGAUAGUUGGUGGGGUAAUGGCCUACCAAGUCGACGAUCUUUAACUGGUUUGAGAGGAUGAUCAGUCAGACUGGAACUGAGACACGGUCCGG
rnacentral:rRNA from 1 species